rnacentral:tRNA from 1 species
GCGGAUAUAGUUUAGUGGUAAAAACCCCUAGCCUUCCAAGCUAACGAUGCGGGUUCGAUUCCCGCUAUCCGCUUAUCUUAUCU